rnacentral:lncRNA from 1 species
AUUUAAUCUGUGAUGCAUCUUCUCCAAAUGAAGGGGUUCAAGUUUUUCUGGGACCAUUUAAUUUCUGCCGUGUUUCCUCCUCUCCCCCCCACCUCCCCCAACACACACAUAAACCAUCCAUUGCUGAGUUGUUCUGUCUUGGUCUUGCGAAUGCAAGCGCCUGUUUGGGGAUGUGGAGCAGUCGUUUGCUCCUGCUGUGGUUGUUCGUUGCAGUGAACAUGAACUGCAGGUUUUUUUGGUUGGUUUGUUUAGCUUUCAUUCUGUGUUGGUGCCAUGCCAACCCGAGAAUGCAUAGUCGGGGAUGCAUCACUUGCUUAUGACUCUAGCAAGAAGAAUAGUGGAUCUCAAGCCCGGCUGCACAGUAGAAUCACGUGGGGAGCUUUUAGAAAACACCUGUGCCUGGGUCUUACCGUCAAAGGUUCUUAUUUAAUUGGCCUGGAAUGGGCUCAGGUGUUGGCCCAUUCCCAGGUGUUUCUAUGCACAGUAAGUAUUAAGAACCACUGCAGACCGCACCAUUUUCAGGCCAUUCUACAACACUCAGCUUGAGCUGGCGUCUCCUGAGCAGCUUGCUCUGACGCCCUCUCCCCACUAGGCUCAGAGCCUUUUCUCUAUGCUCCCAGAGGAUGAGCCUACAGUCUUAAGUAUGUCAUAGAGAUAUCUAGUCCUGGAGUCUUCUGAUCAGAGUUUAGAAGCAUGAGCUCGUUCAAGACUCUCGAGAGAUCAGAAGAGAACGCUGGCAUCCUGAGCUGCUUGCCUCGCAGAGCCUUUGAGACGUUCAUUCACUUCCCUGAAUGUUCUGAGCAAUCAAGCACUUCCUAGGUCCUGCCUGGGGACACGUAUUAAGGCAGUUGUCAUCUUUCUUAGCCAUGAUACAUACAACACAUCUCAGGAUUUCCCUGAAACCCCGGACUAGAAGCAUGCUCUGAUAGCUCAGGACAGAUUCUGGCGUUGAAAGAACAGAGUGUAUGCCAAACUACUUAGAAUACUAAGCUCUUCUCCAAAGGAACCCAGCUUUCAAUAGGAAGCUAGCAGGGUGCCUUGAUCAAGAAUCUGUGUUGAGCUUGCAGGAUUGUUCCAGGGAUUAUUUUCAAAGGGCCUUCUUACAAUGAGCCACUGGAAAGUAAGUUGCAUGUAUGCAGGGACUCUGUUUUGCUCAUCUCUGUGUCUCUGUGGCAUGCAUCAGAGCUUGGCCCAUAGAAGACACUCAGUACAUUAAAUAAAUAGAUGGAUGGAUGAGUAUGAAGUUCUCUUAGCUCCGUCUCAGACCACUGCUUUGAUAAGCAGAGCUCUGUGCUAGGGGAGAGGACCACAGACAUUCACAGAGACUAUCAUUUAUGGAUGGAUCUGGUUUUACCCCUGCUGAGCUUGAGAAACUUGUGGACAAACUUUGAAUGAACUGUUACCACCAUUCCUCAUCACCCUUAAAUUAAUGCCCAACCUGAAGAGAUGAUAUUU